AAGGAUUUAAGUUAACAAAACUAUUAGCCUUCAAAGCUAAAAUUAAAUUUAUUUAAGCCUUA
rnacentral:tRNA from 1 species